GCUCCUCACAUGCUGCUGCUGUGUUUUUUUAUUUGUAGGGCCAGCUACUGUUUGCUUCAUUUAUCCCAACCGGUGCCUUUUCUAAUGGGACGUGGCAGGCUUUUUUCAACUUGCUGCAGCACUCAUAAAAAUACAACAAAAAUUUCUUUGUGCAGCUUCAUUUUUCAUGGGCCGUGGCAGCUUCUCCAAAUGCUGGGAUCUCCAAAGCUGAUGGAGCUGAAC
rnacentral:lncRNA from 1 species